rnacentral:tRNA from 1 species
GUAAGCAUUCGGGUAAUUGGUGACCCACCAGACUGUAAAUCUGGCGUCUCUUGGCACUGCAGGUUCGAGUCCUGCUGCUUACACCA